UAAGGAAUAUUGGUCAAUGGACGCAAGUCUGAACCAGCCAUGCCGCGUGGAGGAUGAAGGUCCUCUGGAUUGUAAACUUCUUUUAUCGGAGAAGAAACCCCUGAAAUCUUUUAGGGUUGACGGUACCCGAUGAAUAAGCACCGGCUAACUCCGUGCCAGCAGCCGCGGUAAUACGGAGGGUGCAAGCGUUAUCCGGAUUCACUGGGUUUAAAGGGAGCGUAGGUGGGCUGGUAAGUCAGUGGUGAAAUCUCCGGGCUUAACUCGGAAACUGCCGUUGAUACUAUCAGUCUUGAAUGUUGUGGAGGUAAGCGGAAUAUGUCAUGUAGCGGUGAAAUGCUUAGAUAUGACAUAGAACACCGAUAGCGAAGGCAGCUUGCUACACAAUUAUUGACACUGAGGCUCGAAAGCGUGGGGAUCAAACAGGAUUAGAUACCCGCGUAGUCC
rnacentral:rRNA from 1 species